AGAGAUUGUUGCUUUGCAAGCAGAAUGCUGCAAGUUCUGUCCCAGGCAUCUUUGGUUAGAAGGAACAAAUAAGCAAGUGAGGGGAAGAAGAAGAAGAGUUUGGAUUUGAUAUCCUGCUUUAUCACUACCUGAAGGAGUCUCAAAGCAGCUAACAUUCUCCUUUUCCUUCCUCCCCCACAACAAACACUCUGUGAGGUGAGUGGGGCUGAGAGACUUCAGAGAAGUGUGACUAGCCCAAGGUCACCCAGCAGCUGCAUGUGGAGGAGCGGAGACGCGAACCCGGUUCACCAGAUUAUGAGACUACCGCUCUUCACCGCUACACCAAAUGUCUCUGCUCAUGGCCCUGGAGAGCCACUGCCAGUCAGAGCAGACAAGGACUGAGGAACCUGCAACCCUCCAGAAGUUGUUGGCUUACAAAUCCCAUCACCCUUGACCAUUGGCCACCCAGGCUGUGGCUGAUGGGAGUUGGAGUCCAACAACAUACGGAGAACUACAGGUUCCCCACCCUUGGAAUACAGUAGGCCAGAUGGGUCUAUUACCUGGCCAGGUAUAAGUCAGUUUCCUACAUGCUGGUAGAGUUACUGUGUGAUGUAUAGGCAGAAAUUUUGUGGGCUGGAUGCAGUUGUUGUUUUCAUCUUUUAAAUUAUUUGCUGCUUGCCAUUGUUUUGCAUUUUAUCUUAGAAACCACUUUUAGAGGCUUCUUAGCCUGUAAGUGUCAGAUUUCAGGGAAUCUGAUCCCUCCCACAGUGGGCAGCCAAGAAGUAGAUAAACAAGAAGAGUUCUUACCAAGUCUUUUAUUCAGUAGUCACAGAGAGAGACUUAGAAAUGCUGUUUCUCUUGGAUAAUGGCGUUGCUCCGAGUAAAGUACCACCCGCUCCGUCUCUCCUAUCAUACGUCAUCCCUGCGCCGGCUGAUCUGUACUUUCUGCCUCUGAGCUUUCUGUUUCCCUUCUCUCAAUGCUUGGUGGGCUCUGGUAUGCUUUCCAAAGACAUUGAGUCUGUCAGCUGUUUCCCCCCCAGGUGCUUCUUCUUCCUGCUGCCCCUCUCCCAAUAUUUCCCAGCUUCUCCUCUCUGCAGCCUCUGAACUGUGACCUUCUGCAAGCCACUGUUCUAAAUCUAUACUGUCUCUCUCUUCUCUGGGAAGCGGGGAGGGGGGGGAGGGAAUUCCUCCUCAGUCCAGUCUCUGACAGUAAGUAUUUUGAACUGUAACCACAUCAGGUUUGCUUUCCAAAUCUGAUUGCUGUACUUUUCUGCCUUCCAGACGUUUCACAGCAGCGGAGCCAGCAAAAAAACAGCCACGACUCUGCUAGUGGUGCCCACCCAUCCUGUUCUCAUCUAGAACUUCCAAAUGGGGGUCCACCCCCCUUCAAAAAAAGAGAGAAGAUACUAUGGAACUGAAGAAGUGAAGUAGCAACAAAAGCCUGCACCCACAUUAAGUUGGCAGCAACAGAGUUAAAUCAACAAUGACAUUAUGACUG